CCUUGGUGGACGCCUCACAAAACGGCGAGACUCGGCAGCUCUCUCUUUCCUCGGGUAUAUAAGGUCACCUGAUUGUCGGCACUGCACACACAUUCACUCCACUGGUCGGUGACCAACAAGCCUCUCCACGCUUCUUAGCCAGCGAAACGCUCCCUCAAGCCGUUCAAGGAUGAACUUUGUACGCGUGCUGUCAGUCCUGAUGGUGGUGGUGGUCCUGAUGUCCACCGUCUCUGAGGCGGGGCCUCUCCUCCGCAACAGAGGAAGAGGUAGCUUUGGCAGAGGACGCGGCGUGGCCAACGGCAUCAGCCCCAUAUACGGGGACACGUACGCCAACUUCGCCACCGGUAACUCCCUCGUUCCCGGAGUCUUCAACCAGCUGGGCCUCAUCAACUUUUGAGGAUGAAGUGCAGCCGUAGGACGACAUAAGAAGUCAACCAGAGGCCCGCGCCGCCGCCGCCGAAGUUGACGCUCGGCGGCUGGAAAGCCUGACUUCUGGCCCAGCGGGACCCAACGUGCUCCGCGUCCAGUCGCGAGCUACUACAUACCUCGUCGCCGUGACGAGCGUCAGUGGUGGUCACAUCAACAGGGCCUAUAAUAAUUCGCAACCCAGGCAAGAAGUGUUACAGAGUCGGGAGAAAAGUCCACAGGUUGUCUCCCGCCUGGUGACGUGACGAGGCCUAGAGUGUGAGGCUGUUUGUGUGUUUUAUGGUAGAGUCAGAGAAGUCGCUCAUAGCGAGUCUUGCUUCGCUCAUCCAAUUGUUUCCGGUGACAGUGUAGAGCUGUGGUCACAUCAGCUGACAUUGUGAUGUACAUACUGCAUCAGUUAGUCCACGCCCACCAGUUGGGCUCCAGUCCAUACGAUCAACAGCUUAUUUUGUCUUUAAAUACACAUGUACUUUUUUUGUUAAUAUUUAUUUGAGGCUCUGUCCAGUUUUAUUGCAAUAAUAUAUAUUGUCAAAGCUCCAUAUCUCAAUAAUGUUUAACACUGUUACAUUGUACUUAUCAUGUAAUUUCUGUUUCAUUAACAUGUCUCCCUGAUAAUCAAAUGAACAACAUGCAACAAUUCAACA